CGCGUCGUGUGUUUGUGCUUUAGGGUGCACACUCUUUUGCAGUAGGCUGCACACGCCAAUGACCACUUCAUUGAGCUGAAGUGGUUCUGGUGUCUAUAGCUGUCCCUGCAGGCUUUUUGUUGUAAACAUUGCCUUAUCAAAGAAAAGGCAGUGUUUACAUUACUGCCUAGGGACACCUCCAGUGGCAGUCACUGAGAUGGCCACAAGAGGUGCUUUCUGUGUCAGUGCUGUACUCUUUGUGCAUUCAUUCAAUGCAUCUCUAUGAGGAGAUGCUGAGUGGCGCAGUGCUGUUUUGCUGCGCAUGUGCAAUAGCCUCCCAAUGCUUUCCUAUGGGAAAGUACUAGAUUGGCUGAGAGCAUCAAAAUUGAUAAUCUCAGUAAAGGAGGCGGGCCAACCGUGGCACUGGAAAAAAGGUGAGUAAAAUCACCUUUUUAAUGUAAAGAGAGGGGGGCAGAGACCUAAAUAGUUAUUUUACCACUAUAAUUUCAAGAAUGUGUUCCUUUAAGAGCUAAAGAUGGGUCUUGAUCCAGACAUGUCAGUUCAUUUCUACUUUACCUAUGUAGGAGACAACACAGCCCUAAGCUGUUGUUAUUUUGGUUUAACAAACCGUCAUUACUCCACAAUCCCUGUUUAAUGCGUGACCUGUAACUAUGUUGCCUGUCAGUGAAUACGGCCUUAGAUCAUGCCCUCAUGAACUAAUCACCCCCAACAGCCAUAUCAUAGACAGGGCCCAUUGCCUUCUGCUUUAGUGUGUGUCAUUACUGUUUGCUUUCUGUAGUCAUUGUUCUUAUGUACAGUUCUGCGGAAUACGUUGGUGCUUUAAAAAUAAAGGAUAAAAAGAGUAAAAUAUUACAGUGAUUUGUUAGAAACCAUGCCUUGGGGAGAGCUCAUUCCAUGUAACAAGAACUUAGAAACAAGAAAAAAUAAUAGGGGUUUACUUACUAAAGUCGCGGAUACACAACAAGCAAACUGUGAAUAUUUGAACAAAAUUUUGAAAAAGUUGCAAACUAAACAAUUUUGGCAGCUCAGCUAUUUUGGCUGUAAAAUGUGUAUUUCCCAUGUUCCCCACAAUUUCUGGUUUACUAAAUAAUCAAAGUUUUCUAUAUGAACCAAAUUAAGCAAUUUGAUUUACGUGUUCUUUAAAAUAUGUCCGCUGUGACUAUUUCUAUCUAUUCUAGAUAACCCAUACCUUUCACGACUAUGGAGAAGGAGUGCGUUAUAUAUUUUUCCAACAUGGCGGUCAGGACGAAAUGUUGUGGGGUGGCUGGUAUGGAGUCAGAGUAACCAACAGCAGCGUCAGCCUUGAACUUCGUGAUGAAUAAAGAUGGACUCGUAAAACAAAACAAAAAAAUUAUGGGAUAAUUGUUUCAUGGCUACAAUUUCAAAAAAUUUUUUUAUUAAAAAUAUGCCUAUUUUAUAUUGUUGAACAAAUGUAUGUGUACGAAUAAAAGAAUAUAGUUUGAGUUGAACAUCUGUUUAAUAUAAUUUAAAAAAUUUUAAAAAAGGAUUUAACAAACUACUUAUUUCAAACUAUGCAGCUUGCCAAUUUUAUUAUAUUGUUUUAUUCUAGGAAUAUAUAAUUUUAUAAUUCUAGGAAAUCUUUCUAAAUGUAUAACAGAUUGAUGUAUAAAUGUAUAUGAAGGUUAUGUCUGUGUAUCUUAUUUCUAAUACAAUUUAGAAUAAAACAAAUAAAGUUAAACUUUACUUCAUGUAAAAUGUAUAACAGACUACAUUAUUUUAUAUUUCAAGGACAGAUCAUAUUGUUAGAAAAAUAUAUCCUAAUCUAAUACAAUGAUUCCCUUUCAGUAUGUAUUUGUGUUAUUUUAUUUCCGCUGUCUGCAUAGUUCUAUAUGUAGCAUAUUACUUGUUAUUUCGAAUGUACAGAACUUUCUAAUCUAUUCUGUAAUAAUGACAAUAAACACUUUUCGUUCCAAUGUAU
rnacentral:lncRNA from 1 species